rnacentral:tRNA from 1 species
GCCCUAGUAGCUUAAUAUAAAGCACCGGUUUUGUAAUCCGGAGAUUGGGGGUUAGUGUCCCUCCUAGUGCU